UCGGGAAUUUUGGGCAAUGGGCGAAAGCCUGAUCCAGCCAUGCCGCGUGUGUGAAGAAGGUCUUAGGAUCGUAAAGCACUUUAAGUUGGGAGGAAGGGCAGUAAAUUAAUACUUUGCUGUUUUGACGUUACCGACAGAAUAAGCACCGGCUAACUCUGUGCCAGCAGCCGCGGUAAUACAGAGGGUGCAAGCGUUAAUCGGAAUUACUGGGCGUAAAGCGCGCGUAGGUGGUUUGUUAAGUUGGAUGUGAAAUCCCCGGGCUCAACCUGGGAACUGCAUCCAAAACUGGCAAGCUAGAGUAUGGUAGAGGGUGGUGGAAUUUCCAGUGUAGCGGUGAAAUGCGUAGAUAUAGGAAGGAACACCAGUGGCGAAGGCGACCACCUGGACUGAUACUGACACUGAGGUGCGAAAGCGUGGGGAGCAAACAGGAUUAGAUACCCCCGUAGUCCCUGAGCGGGCUGGCAAGGCGCAU
rnacentral:rRNA from 1 species